UGAGCUAAUGACGUCUUUCUGCUGUUUCUAAGGGCUGGUGUGUGUUUGCAAGUGUCCGUGUGUGUACGUUUGUGUCGCUUGCUGGUUACCACGCAUGAGUGAGUGAGUUCACGGGAGAGAGAGGUAGCCGUAGCCUACCUCGGGAUAGAUUAUGCAAAAAGAGUAAAAACAUGUAUGAAUGACAAAAAGUCAGCCCUUUGCUCGUCAAACCCGCCUUCAACAAUUUGCCAAUUUGCAUAAACCCCUCUAAUAUCUGACCUAAAAGAGCUGUGGCGGCUCCGCUUGAGCGGUAAUGCUGUGCAUCCACACCGCUGACUCUCCGUGUCUGACGGAACUGAGAGAGGUCCGCUCGCGGCGGUCAACGCGCCUGUCCUUUUUUCACAGCACAGAGCAUGGAGAAAAGACUGGAAAACAAGAGAAAAAAAAAAAGAACAUGGGAAACCAAAUUAGGGAAGGCUGCAAACCAGGCUUAAAUCCGCAUGAAUUCCACAGCUCUCACCUGAACAGAUAAUUAUUUUUAUGAUUGGCAGUAAGAUGAAAUGAUGUUUGGAACAGACCAGUACAGUACCUCCAGUGAUGUAAUAAUGACCUUCACCCUCAGCCUGUUCCUUCCCCAUCAGCCAUCAGCAUCUUCCCUACAGACAAAAAUUAAAGGUCUAGACCGGAAUGACAAAGACUGAGAAGGACCCUACAGCCAGAGCAGAAAGAACGGUAAUAGAAUAGGUAAUCAAAAACAUGGCCUAUCUAUCCCAUCCCAUUCUCUCCAAUACAAUCACUUUUUUCUGCAACUAAUCAUAAAGAAGCAGAUAAGUCUGAUGGUGGAAAAGCAAAAGUUCUAUUCAGGCAGGAUUAAAAUAAGUUGAACAAACACUCAGAAAAUAGUAUCUCCCUUCAGGGCAAGCCUGCAAUCAUUUCAAAGUAUCAUUUUGCAAGUUUGAGCUAGUAACUAAAGUAGGCAAAAGGACAGAUUAUGAAAAAUAAUAAAAAAAAAGAUUAAAAAGCUAAAUGAAAGUAA
ensembl:lncRNA